GACGAACGCUGGCGGCGUGGAUUAGGCAUGCAAGUCGCGCGACAGGCGGAGCAAUCCGUCAUGGAGCGGCGAACGGGUGAGUAACACGUGAGAAACCUACCGCAUCAUUCCGGAUAAUUGACCGAAAGGUCUUGUAAUACGGGGGAGGUUCGUGAAUAGGCAUCUAUUUACGAACGAACGGGCAACCGGUGCUGUGAUGG
rnacentral:rRNA from 1 species